UGGGGAAUAUUGCACAAUGGGCGAAAGCCUGAUGCAGCGACGCCGCGUGAGGGAUGACGGCCUUCGGGUUGUAAACCUCUUUCAGCAGGGAAGAAGCGAAAGUGACGGUACCUGCAGAAGAAGCGCCGGCUAACUACGUGCCAGCAGCCGCGGUAAUACGUAGGGCGCAAGCGUUGUCCGGAAUUAUUGGGCGUAAAGAGCUCGUAGGCGGUUAGUCGCGUCUGCUGUGAAAACUCGAGGCUCAACCUCGGGCUUGCAGUGGGUACGGGCUGACUAGAGUGCAGUAGGGGUGACUGGAAUUCCUGGUGUAGCGGUGGAAUGCGCAGAUAUCAGGAGGAACACCGAUGGCGAAGGCAGGUCACUGGGCCGCAACUGACGCUGAGGAGCGAAAGCAUGGGGAGCGAACAGGAUUAGAUACCCUGGUAGUCCAUGCCGUAAACGUUGGGCACUAGGUGUGGGUCCAUUCCACGGAUUCCGUGCCGCAGCAAAGCGCAUUAAGUGCCCCGCCUGGGGAGUACGGCCGCAAGGCUAAAACUUAAAGGAAUUGACGGGGUCAUAGCUGUUUCC
rnacentral:rRNA from 1 species